AUUGAACGCUGGCGGCAGGCUUAACACAUGCAAGUCGAGCGGGCGAGGUUGCUUCGGUAACUGAGCUAGCGGCGGACGGGUGAGUAAUGCUUAGGAAUCUGCCUAUUAGUGGGGGACAACAUUCCGAAAGGAAUGCUAAUACCGCAUACGUCCUACGGGAGAAAGCAGGGGAUCAUUUGACCUUGCGCUAAUAGAUGAGCCUAAGUCGGAUUAGCUAGUUGGUGGGGUAAAGGCCUACCAAGGCGACGAUCUGUAGCGGGUCUGAGAGGAUGAUCCGCCACACUGGGACUGAGACACGGCCCAGACUCCUACGGAAGGCAGCAGUGGGGAAUAUUGGACAAUGGGGGGAACCCUGAUCCAGCCAUGCCGCGUGUGUGAAGAAGGCCUUUUGGUUGUAAAGCACUUUAAGUGGGGAGGAGGCUUACCUGGUUAAUACCUGGGCUAAGUGGACGUUACCCACAGAAUAAGCACCGGCUAACUCUGUGCCAGCCGCCGCAGUAACAC
rnacentral:rRNA from 1 species